GAUGAACGCUGGCGGCGUGCCUAAUACAUGCAAGUCGAGCGAACAGACGAGGAGCUUGCUCCUUUGACGUUAGCGGCGGACGGGUGAGUAACACGUAGGUAACCUACCUAUAAGACUGGGAUAACUUCGGGAAACCGGAGCUAAUACCGGAUAAUAUUUCGAACCGCAUGGUUCGAUAGUGAAAGAUGGCUUUGCUAUCACUUAUAGAUGGACCUGCGCCGUAUUAGCUAGUUGGUAAGGUAACAGCUUACUAAGGCAACGAUACGUAGCCGACCUGAGAGGGUGAUCGGCCACACUGGAACUGAGACACGGUCCAGACUCCUACGGGAGGCAGCAGUAGGGAAUCUUCCGCAAUGGGCGAAAGCCUGACGGAGCAACGCCGCGUGAGUGAUGAAGGUCUUCGGAUCGUAAAACUCUGUUAUUAGGGAAGAACAAACGUGUAAGUAACUGUGCACGUCUUGACGGUACCUAAUCAGAAAGCCACGGCUAACUACGUG
rnacentral:rRNA from 1 species